rnacentral:misc_RNA from 1 species
ACCUCCUUUCUAAGAGAAAGAUAAACUAAGGCUAAUUCUAUUAACUCUUCCCUACUCUUUUCUUUUGAUAAAAGGGUUUUUAAAACCAGUGUUAUUUUUUAAGUUUAAUGGAAAUUUGUGUAUUAAAUUUUUUAUUAAUGAUAUUAAAGCGUUCUAUUAAGUUUAAAUCAUUUUGGGGGUUUAGCUCAGUUGGCUAGAGCAUCGGCUUUGCAAGCCGAGGGUCAAGGGUUCGAGUCCCUUAACCUCCAUUUGGCAUGUGCCUUGGAUUGUGAUUAAGCAUGUUUUCAAAAAAUUUGUUAAAGUAAUUAUUUGAAGAUGAAACAGAAUAAGUUAGAAUUUUUAGGUUAAAGUUGGAAGCUUUUAAUACCAAGGAGAAUGUCUAGGAGCAAAAGCAAAUUUUUUAUAAAAACUUACGUUGUGUUACUAAAUCAUAAGGAUUAAAUAAGAUUACAUUUUUAAGCAGUUUAUUUUAUAAGCACCCCACAUUCAUUACUAACUUUUAAUUGGAAAUUAAUGUGAGUCGUUUGGCGUGAUGUCUGGGGGUAAGUCUUGUAGCGAGUCGCAAUUUUUGUUAUCGUUACCACUAUGUAAUGACCAGGAAUUAGUAUAAGAUUUUGAUUAUAAAGCGGAGGGCAAGGUUUGUGUUCAAGCCAUUACUCUUAUGUCUCACGUACGUGUUGUAAUGGCCUGUACAAAGCUAAGAUAAACAGCGGUGUGAAGUAAAGGUUUAAAUCGGGUCUCAAUAUGUAUUACAUUUUGAAAUUUGACUCCAUGAAGUUGCAAUUGUUAGUAAUCGUAUAUUGGGAUGAUACGGUGAAUGCGUUCCAAGGUCCUUUGCACAUUCUCCUGGUACAUUGUUCGAGUAUGGGUAUGAUGCCCCGCGAAUUAUUGUCCUAACCCGUAAGGGGAGAAGACAUAUAAGGUAUUUUUGGGGGAGGGAAAAGGGAUCAUAACAAGAUGAUUGUACUUCCCAGUAUCGCCGGAUUAACCCCUUUUUAAUAGAAAGAUAAAUUAAGGCUAAUUUUAUUGAUUAUUCUUUGUGCUUUUAUUUUUAUGAAAAAGUUUUUGAAGUAGAAGUAAAUUUUUAGUUUAAAUUUUUUUUAAAAAAACCUUUAGUAAGUGUUUGAUAGUAUUCAACUUAAUAUUUAAUUAAGCUAUUGUUUAAUGGUAAAUACAAUUUUAGAUUUUAGGGCGAAGUAUUUUUAUAUUAUUAAUUAUAGCUUAAAGCAGCACUACCGUGCUUAAAAUAAUGAAAUGC